rnacentral:rRNA from 1 species
UACGGAGGGUGCAAGCGUUACUCGGAAUUACUGGGCGUAAAGCGUGCGUAGACGGUUAUGUAAGUCGGAUGUGAAAGCCCCGGGCUCAACCUGGGAAUUGCAUUCGAGACUGCAUAGCUAGGAUGCGGAAGAGGGAAGUGGAAUUUCCGGUGUAGCGGUGAAAUGCGUAGAUAUCGGAAGGAACAUCAGUGGCGAAAGCGACUUCCUGGUCCAGCAUCGACGUUCAGGCACGAAAGCGUGGGGAGCAAACAGG